rnacentral:rRNA from 1 species
CAAACGACUCUCGGCAACGGAUAUCUCGGCUCUCGCAUCGAUGAAGAACGCAGCGAAAUGCGAUACUUGGUGUGAAUUGCAGGAUCCCGCGAACCAUCGAGUUUUUGAACGCAAGUUGCGCCCGAAGCCUUCYGGCCGAGGGCACGUCUGCCUGGGUGUCACUC